CCUACGGGAGGCUGCAGUGGGGGAUAUUGCACAAUGGGGGAAACCCUGAUGCAGCGACGCCGCGUGUGGGAAGACGGUCCUCUGGAUUGUAAACCACUGUCACCAGGGACGAAGAUGAAGGUACCUGGGGAGGAAGCUCCGGCUAACUACGUGCCAGCAGCCGCGGUAAUACGUAGGGAGCGAGCGUUGUCCGGAAUUACUGGGUGUAACGGGAGCGUAGGCGGGACAGCAAGUUGGGUGUCAAAUCUACCGGCUCAACCGGUAGCCGCACUCAAAACUGAAGUUCUUGAGUGAAGUAGAGGCAGGCGGAAUUCCUAGUGUAGCGGUGAAAUGCGUAGAUAUUAGGAGGAACACCAGUGGCGAAGGCGGCCUGCUGGGCUUUUACUGACGCUGAGGCUCGAAAGUGUGGGGAGCAAACAGGAUUAGAUACCCUUGUAGUC
rnacentral:rRNA from 1 species